rnacentral:lncRNA from 1 species
CAGUGAAACCGCCGGUCGCCGCACCUGCUCCAGUCGCAACUCCACCGACCGCAACUCCUCCGACUUCUUCGCCCACCGCCUCGCCGCCGACUGAUACUCCUAUAUCAUCUCCACCGGCGCCUCCUACUUCUGCUCCAGGUGCAUCUCCCACCGGCGCUCCUACUCCGUCCUCGAUCUCCGCUCCCGGCGCUUCUCCGGCAGGCACUCCUGACAACGCUGCCGGUUUGAACAGAGUUACCGUCGCCGGAUCUAGC